rnacentral:rRNA from 1 species
CUACGGGGGGCUGCAGUAAGGAAUAUUGCGCAAUGGAGGCAACUCUGACGCAGCCAUGCCACGUGCAGGAAGAAGGCCUUAUGGGUCGUAAACUGCUUUUAUUUAGGAAUAAACCCCCGAACGUGUUCGGGGCUGAAGGUACUAAACGAAUAAGCACCGGCUAACUCCGUGCCAGCAGCCGCGGUAAUACGGAGGGUGCAAGCGUUAUCCGGAUUUGUUGGGUUUAAAGGGUGCGCAGGCGGGCUAUUAAGUCAGUGGUGAAAUCCCGGGGCUCAACUCCGGAACUGCCAUUGAUACUGAUAGUCUUGAGUUUGGUUGAAGUGGGCGGAAUGUAGCAUGUAGCGGUGAAAUGCAUAGAUAUGCUACAGAACACCAAUCGCGAAGGCAGCUCACUAAGCCAAAACUGACGCUCAUGCACGAAAGCGUGGGGAUCAAACAGGAUUAGAUACCCUCGUAGUC